rnacentral:rRNA from 1 species
GAUGAACGCUGGCGGCGUGCCUAACACAUGCAAGUCGAGCGAAGCACUUUGCUUAGAUUCUUCGGAUGAAGAGGAUUGUGACUGAGCGGCGGACGGGUGAGUAACGCGUGGGUAACCUGCCUCAUACAGGGGGAUAACAGUUAGAAAUGACUGCUAAUACCGCAUAAGACCACAGCACCGCAUGGUGCGGGGGUAAAAACUCCGGUGGUAUGAGAUGGACCCGCGUCUGAUUAGCUAGUUGGUAAGGUAACGGCUUACCAAGGCGACGAUCAGUAGCCGACCUGAGAGGGUGACCGGCCACAUUGGGACUGAGACACGGCCCAAACUCCUACGGGAGGCAGCAGUGGGGAAUAUUGCACAAUGGGGGAAACCCUGAUGCAGCGACGCCGCGUGAGCGAAGAAGUAUUUCGGUAUGUAAAGCUCUAUCAGCAGGGAAGAAAAUGACGG